rnacentral:rRNA from 1 species
AGGGAAUCUUCCGCAAUGGACGAAAGUCUGACGGAGCAACGCCGCGUGAGUGAUGAAGGUUUUCGGAUCGUAAAACUCUGUUGUUAGGGAAGAACAAGUACCGUUCGAAUAGGGCGGCACCUUGACGGUACCUAACCAGAAAGCCACGGCUAACUACGUGCCAGCAGCCGCGGUAAUACGUAGGUGGCAAGCGUUGUCCGGAAUUAUUGGGCGUAAAGCGCGCGCAGGCGGUUUCUUAAGUCUGAUGUGAAAGCCCACGGCUCAACCGUGGAGGGUCAUUGGAAACUGGAAGACUUGAGUGCAGAAGAGGAGAGUGGAAUUCCACGUGUAGCGGUGAAAUGCGUAGAGAUGUGGAGGAACACCAGUGGCGAAGGCGACUCUCUGGUCUGUAACUGACGCUGAGGCGCGAAAGCGUGGGGAGCAAAC